rnacentral:rRNA from 1 species
UACAGAGGUCUCAAGCGUUGUUCGGAUUCAUUGGGCGUAAAGGGUGCGUAGGUGGCGCCGUAAGUCGGGUGUGAAAUCUCGGAGCUCAACUCCGAAAUUGCAUUGGAUACUGCGUUGCUUGAGGAUUGUAGAGGAGAGUGGAAUUCACGGUGUAGCAGUGAAAUGCGUAGAUAUCGUGAGGAAGACCAGUUGCGAAGGCGACUCUCUGGGCAAUUCCUGACACUGAGGCACGAAGGCCAGGGGAGCAAAACGGG